AGAUAUUAGUAAAGCCCUUUGUCAGAAAUAGUUAAAUAUGCUGGAUGACUCCUUCCUGGUUUGGGUCUUAGUCCCCUUUUUUUCUAAAUUUCCCAGACAGUUACUUCUAGGUGGGCACCCAUUAUUCACUUACUGUAUAAAGAGCAGAUGUGCUACCGUUUAAAGAAGCCUACAAUUAGACACUGUACAUUAAGGCAAACAUGCUGCAUCUCUAAUCCUCACAACACCACAAUAUGUUUUCUGUUAUCCCCAUUUUACAGAUGAAGAAGCUGAGCUUCAGAUAGGUAACUGGUUUUAAAUCCUAGUUAAUGGAACUGCUCUAUUGCACCAUUCUAAUGAUUCGUUAAAGAAAGUUGUACAGCAACAAGGAAAAGGGAUGAAAAGAUGAAACAAGAAUGAAAAGGAAAGAAUAUGGAGAAAGAGAGGAACUGGAAUUUAAAAAAAAAAAGAGCCUCCUAAAGUUGUUUAAGGCUUCAAUCACUUUUACCCAUACCAUCACAAGAUUAAUGUGUGCUCCAGGCUUUCCUGGUGGCACAGCGGUUAAGAAUCCACCUUCCAGUGCAGGGGACACGGGUUUGAGCCCUAGUCCGGGAAGAUCCCACAUGCCGCGGAGCAACUGGGCCCGUGCACCACAACUACUGAGCCUGUGCUUAGAGCCUGCGAGCCACAACUACUGAGCCCGAGUGCCACAACUACUGAGGCCCGCACACCUAGAGCCCGUGCUCUGCAACAAGAGAAGCCACCCAAUGAGAAGCCCGCGCACCGCAACCAAGAGUAGCCCCCGCUCACUGCAGCUAGAGAAAAUCCCGUGCGCAGCAACAAAGACCCAACACAGCCAAAAAUAAAUAAAUAAAUAAAUAAAUUAAUUAUUUUAAAAAA